rnacentral:rRNA from 1 species
UAACACGUGAGCAACCUGCCCUGGACUCUGGGAUAAGCGCUGGAAACGGCGUCUAAUACUGGAUAUGAGACGUGAUCGCAUGGUCGUGUUUGGAAAGAUUUUUCGGUCUGGGAUGGGCUCGCGGCCUAUCAGCUUGUUGGUGAGGUAAUGGCUCACCAAGGCGUCGACGGGUAGCCGGCCUGAGAGGGUGACCGGCCACACUGGGACUGAGACACGGCCCAGACUCCUACGGGAGGCAGCAGUGGGGAAUAUUGCACAAUGGGCGGAAGCCUGAUGCAGCAACGCCGCGUGAGGGAUGACGGCCUUCGGGUUGUAAACCUCUUUUAGCAGGGAAGAAGCGAAAGUGACGGUACCUGCAGAAAAAGCGCCGGCUAACUACGUGCCAGCAGCCGCGGUAAUACGUAGGGCGCAAGCGUUAUCCGGAAUUAUUGGGCGUAAAGAGCUCGUAGGCGGUUUGUCGCGUCUGCUGUGAAAUCCCGAGGCUCAACCUCGGGCCUGCAGUGGGUACGGGCAGACUAGAGUGCGGUAGGGGAGAUUGGAAUUCCUGGUGUAGCGGUGGAAUGCGCAGAUAUCAGGAGGAACACCGAUGGCGAAGGCAGAUCUCUGGGCCGUAACUGACGCUGAGGAGCGAAAGGGUGGGGAGCAAACAGGCUUAGAUACCCUGGUAGUCCACCCCGUAAACGUUGGGAACUAGUUGUGGGGACCAUUCCACGGUUUCCGUGACGCAGCUAACGCAUUAAGUUCCCCGCCUGGGGAGUACGGCCGCAAGGCUAAAACUCAAAGGAAUUGACGGGGACCCGCACAAGCGGCGGAGCAUGCGGAUUAAUUCGAUGCAACGCGAAGAACCUUACCAAGGCUUGACAUAUACGAGAACGGGCCAGAAAUGGUCAACUCUUUGGACACUCGUAAACAGGUGGUGCAUGGUUGUCGUCAGCUCGUGUCGUGAGAUGUUGGGUUAAGUCCCGCAACGAGCGCAACCCUCGUUCUAUGUUGCCAGCACGUAAUGGUGGGAACUCAUGGGAUACUGCCGGGGUCAACUCGGAGGAAGGUGGGGAUGACGUCAAAUCAUCAUGCCCCUUAUGUCUUGGGCUUCACGCAUGCUACAAUGGCCGGUACAAAGGGCUGCAAUACCGUAAGGUGGAGCGAAUCCCAAAAAGCCGGUCCCAGUUCGGAUUGAGGUCUGCAACUCGACCUCAUGAAGUCGGAGUCGCUAGUAAUCGCAGAUCAGCAACGCUGCGGUGAAUACGUUCCCGGGUCUUGUACACACCGCCCGUCAAGUCAUGAAAG